rnacentral:rRNA from 1 species
AUCUUGCGCAAUGGGCGAAAGCCUGACGCAGCCAUGCCGCGUGAAUGAUGAAGGUCUUAGGAUUUUAAAAUUCUUUCAUCGGGGACGAUAAUGACGGUACCCGGAGCAGAAGCCUCGGCUCACUUCGUGCCAGCAGCAGCGGUAAUACGAAGGGGGCUAGCGUUGCUCGGAAUUAUUGGGCGUAAAGGGCGCGUAGGCGGAUCGUUAAGUCCGAGGUGAAAUCCCGGGGCUCAACCUCGGAACUGCCCUUGAUACUGGCGAUCUUGAGUAUGAGAGAGGUAUGUGGAACUCCGAGUGUAGAGGUGAAAUUCGUAGAUAUUCGGAAGAACACCAGUGGCGAAGGCGACAUACUGGCUCAUUACUGACGCUGAGGCGCGAAAGCGUGGGGAGCAAACA